rnacentral:rRNA from 1 species
GCCAGCGUCGAAAGCACGUUGAACACACCAGUUGGUUCACUGAAGUUAAGCAACGUUGCGCGUGGUCGGUAUCCGGAUGGGUGACCAUUUGGAAAAUCGCGUGCUGCUGAGU